rnacentral:tRNA from 1 species
GGGGUUGUGGCUCAGCGGUAGAGCACUCUCCUAGCAUGUGCGAGGCCCUGGGUUUGAGCCUCAGCACCACA